rnacentral:rRNA from 1 species
CAGUAGCCGCGGUAAUACGUAGGUGGCAAGCGUUGUCCGGAAUUAUUGGGCGUAAAGGGCUCGCAGGCGGUUUCUUAAGUCUGAUGUGAAAGCCCCCGGCUCAACCGGGGAGGGUCAUUGGAAACUGGGAAACUUGAGUGCAGAAGAGGAGAGUGGAAUUCCACGUGUAGCGGUGAAAUGCGUAGAGAUGUGGAGGAACACCAGUGGCGAAGGCGACUCUCUGGUCUGUAACUGACGCUGAGGCGCGAAAGCGUGGGGAGCAAACAGGAUUAGAUACCCCUGUAGUCCCUGUCUCUUAUAC